UGGCACAGUAACUUGCUGGAAAGUCAACAUUUUACACAGAAUUACUUGAAAGAUAAAUGACUCAAAAAAGAAGAGAAGAGGAUGAAGAUGAGGAUGACGAUAAGGAGAAGAAGGAGGAUAAUAUCUUGUCAUUGUGAAUAACGAGUAUUCUGAAGUACACGGAGCCCCAAAGGUCUCUGGUUACAGUCUGCUAUUUCACCCACAUCUGUGAGAUCUUUUACUGCAGCAGUAGUCUGUCUGUGAAAUCCCUGCAUGGACAUGCGCUGGAGAGCUCCCACCUUUGGUCUGCACCCCAGAGUGUGAAACUAACCAGGAUGCACAACCAAGAGAAACCACAGCAGCAGACCCGAAGCCAUCAAUAAGAGAGCAGAGAAAUGAAACACUUGUUUUGGAAAGACCACUGAGAAGCUGGGGUUGCUUGCCAUGAGCAUCACUUAUCAGAGAUGCUCCAGUGCAUCUUAAGAAAUAAAGC
rnacentral:lncRNA from 1 species